GAGGCUUCCCAAAGAAAGGAGCGGAUAGGCUGGGUCGGGAGACACGGCUGGAGGCACUGCCUGGAAUUAAGAAAGGAUACAUAUGCAGAAGAAUGCAUGAGCAGAACCGCACACGAAGUGGUUGGGGGAUUUAAGAGUGAAUGAGUGACACGUUACCUAACUGCCAAUGGUGAACUGAAAUACAUUUUUGUGAGGUGGAAAGAGGAGUCAUGCGAGUAUUACCAGAAUGCUUCAAGAUCCUCACAUCAGAAGGCAAGGGCAGCCUGAGCUAAACAGCUGGCUGGAUUUGCAUGAAAAUGGACUGCCCUUUUUCAUUUGUUUGUUCUUUGGAAAUUACAGUAGGAAAGCCACACAGGGAAUUGCUCCCACUUUGCUCAACUCCCAGAGGAUCUGAAGGCACUGUUGUAAGAUUGCACUUGCUAAGGACUCGUCAGGAAUAUUUCUAAUCUAUAAUUCAAGCCUCUGUCUGAAAGGUAUGCAUUAUGGCAUUUGAAAGGAAAUGACUUCCACAUAUAUUUGGUUGAUGGAGACCAUCCAGGGGUCACGAUGUGCAACAGAGAAACUUCCAAACAAUUUGUGAAGGCACAACUUCAGUAAGAAACAUAAGCCUGAGCCUGAACAUAAGCAUCUGGGUUGUUCCAUUCGAUGAGACCAUAUAGCCAACAAGAGAUGGGCUGAACUGGAGUCACUUUUUUUUUUACCAAAAAUGGUUUCCCUUCAGUGGCUGGAACGUAAAUUAUGAGAAGCUGAAGGAGAAAGCUGUAAAUUAUUGGGCUCUGCCAACUUCAAUAUUCUCAGCCUGAUGGAUCCUUGAUUUGACAACAAUCUGCUCGUCAGUCACUCUUGCAAAAUAUUAACAUGCUCAAUUAUCAAAUGUGUUAGCCAACUGUUAAAUUUAACGGAUAGAGCAGUCGAAAGUCCGGAGACACAAAGGCUCGGUCAGACCCGGCUUCCGUUCCUGCUGAAAGGCAUCUGCUGGAGCUCAGGAGCUGCUUGUUGGUGACCUGUGACAGCAGAGUUUCUUCAGGGCUUACAGUAUUUUUUAGGAAAUUCUGGCUCUUUUUAUGCGAAAAAUGGAAAGAAGAACACAAAUGUUGUUGCUCAGUCUCCCCGGGUGCAGUCUGAGUUUCUGCUUAUGGUCGAUGGGAAUGGAGUGUGCCCAGCACCCCCAAAAAUCAGUCUCUUUGAAGAUGCAGAAAACAGAUUAUGUGCCUAAAUGAAGUCCCCAAGUUUGGGAGAAAAAACCAGGUUACCGUCACCGAAGAGUAUUUUAUAACUAGUAAAGCAGGUGUUAAGGUGUCUCCUAAUAGCCAGUGCAAAAAGCUCAUCUUCAUCUGAAAGACCCUUUGGGAAAACCGUCCCACUUCACUGUGAUUUUAUCUGUCCUUCUGUAUUUUUUCCCGUCUGGUCUAUGAGCAGCCAUGGCAGCGACGUCUCUUACUGCCCACUUUUAGAGCACCCGGUGCUGUGAUUUGGACCUAAACCAGUCUGGGAGAUGGCAGAGAGCGCGGGGAGCUGAGCAUCAGAUUUCCCCAAAGGUUAUAUGAGCAGACCAGAAAAUCUGGCUCUCUGCGGAAAAGCAGGAGCCAACGGUGCAUCCGGGAGAGCUGUGGGAGUGCGGGUUAGCAGGAGGGGACGGAGAUGGGACCACCACAGGCAAGGGGCCACCAGUCACUACCUGCAUCCCUCGGAGACAGGGAACAGGCAUUAGAGGUCGGAGAGAAAUCCGCAAUGCAGUAAAGGUGGGUUGCCCCUUCCCCCUCCACCCCCCAAAUAUGAAUUUUAAGAAUAUUUUACUGGCAAUAACGGAGGGAAUCCCUUCUAGCAUUACAACACAAAAUGAAAAAGGUAAGUGGUAACAGCCUCCAGCACCUCUGCUCGUGGAGCUGCAGUAGCAAGGCGGCUUGGAAAUACCUACUAACAGGAGUGCCUGUCCUUAAUAAGCACUGUUAGUUUAAUUGCCCCCAUUACAGAUGUUAUCAGCAGCAGGAAGAAGAAAGGAAUCGCCUGUCAAGCGGAGCAGGAACGCCAGGAGAGUCAGCAGAGCGGACUGCUGCGCUCUGCUGAAUGUAUAAUGAAACUGCCAACCAGCACAAAAUUGUCUGAUAGGUUUGAUUUGCCAGUUCUCACUGAAGUAAAACUUUCCACUGACUUCAAUUAUCAGUAAAUUGUGUUGACCUCAAUAAGCGUUUCUGCAAACUGGACCCGUAACAUGAAUAGGCUGUUCUGCGCAGAAAAGUGACUGCAUGAAAAUGGCAUCUUCUUACUCAUCAGUUCUGCUUCCCGAGGGCACACUGAGCUGCUGCAUCUGACUUUAAUGACAAAAACGAAGUUUUGCUGCUCUUCCUUCCUGCAAGACCUUCGGAGCUGGUGGAACUGGGCUGGGAGUUUGUGCAACAGCAGCAGAGUUUGGGGGAGAACCACCUUGCAGAGUGGUCAUGUCCCCCUGGUCCCACGUACCCAGAGAGCUGUGACCCCCAAGGUUGUCCCCAAGCCCCGCUCUCCACGUGACAAUGAAUCAACCGUCGUUUUCCCAGUGGGCUACUCCAGUCCGGGAGCUUUAAAUGCUCUCUGUUUGACAUCCUCCUGAUAUAUUGCAUUUGUAAAGGUGACCUUAAAUAUUUUAAUGGUAAUAAUUCUUUCAAGGGCUUGAAUCAGUAAAUGUGCUAUGUUCAUAUUUUGGCAUUAUAUACUGUAGGCAAUUUAAUCCAUAUAAGCAGUUUCAGUGAUAUUAACACUGUAGGCAAACUGAUACUAAAGUUUAAAUGUCAGAGAGAGUUUUCAUAUUAGAUCUAGUGCAAACAAAGCAUUUUUUCUCCAAGUACUGAGGCAUAAAAUACCAGGAGAUAGUAAAGACAGAGAGCGCCAAUGAAUCUCAAAUAAACAGGAGGUGAAAUUUAUAGUAUUUUCAAAUAUGUGCCCUAUCCAAGGACUGCUGCAGCUGCACAGAUCUAUAAAAUUAGAGAUAAGAGAAAAACCUUGUAGCGCUCCACAAUAAAUGCACCUCCACCAGGGUAUCUAUCUGGAUUUCUGUAACUCCUUGGAGAUUUACUAUUUCACCUUGGAUUUAUUACCCCACUGUGCAUAGCGUGGAUGGCGUUUUAUAUUUCAUCCAUCGCCCCGCUUAUUAUAUAACGGCAGGUCCCAGUUACAAUCGCCGUGCAGGGAUGUGCUGCCAAACCGUCGCCCACCCCUUGCAGACGGGUGCGAGCAGAGAAACGCUGGGGUGAUCCCACCAGUAUUUACCCAGUGAUGCUAUGGGAGCUGUGGGAUCAGGCAGGUUUCCAUCCUGUGGCCCCAAACCUCUGGGCCUUCUUGCACUCAAUGAGCAGCCAAGACUCUGCCUUACUGGGGAAAAAAAGCAUGGACUGGAUAAAAAGAGGUGCUGUCCACGGUCUCCAGGUUGCGGUGAGGUGCCGGGUGCUGUCCAUGCUGGGGUAAGUGAUGCACGUGGCUCUGCAGAGCCACUGGCCAUGGUUAGGUGCACCCCCCGGGGACGCCUGAGCCAACCGAGCGCUCAGCAGCACCAGCUCAUAAAACCUGUGACAAAUGGUCAAAAAGUUUAUUGCCCGUGUACUGCUGCUUAUGACCCCAUAAACCACCAAGAAUAACGUGCGUGGAAACACGGGCUGUUUGUUAGGGUGUUUUCUUGUUAAAUAACCUGACCUGCUCUGAAAUCUCGUGCUGGCAUCCCCCGGCAAAAAAGGGGUGGCUGUAGGGAGCAGCCCGCUAAAAAUAAGUAGAGCAGCCCUUGUGCCUGCUCGAUAGGAUAUAUAAAUAAUAUAUCCUCAGUCCCACGGAAACACUGACUUCAACUCCCAUUUUUCGUAGAGGUAAAUAGUAGAGGUUGAAGUCAAGAUAACUGCCUGUUCUGUACUUAGGACAUCUUCUUGCUAACAUCCUCCUUGAACUGUGGACAUCUCCCUUUCUCCGUUUCCUUGCCACGGCAGCCGUGCCUGCUGUGUCUGCCUCCUCUGCCCAGCCAGCCCUGGGCUGUUCACCAUGUUUGCUUCAGCCUUGGAGGGGCACUAAACCUUAAGCUUUCCCCUUCCUUUUCCAGCAGGAGAAUUGUGCAUAUAAGCACAGGGUAAACGGUGAUGGACAGGAGAGGAAACCUGUUCCUACAAGAGUGUUAAUGCCAGUAUAGCCACCGUUUGUUUCACUCCAAUGCAAAGGAGACGGGCUCCUCCAAACCAGAUUUCCACUCAAGGAGGAGAACAUGAGCACAGAAAAAGCUUCUAUGUCUUUACUAAGCUUAAUCAUAUUUCAGUACAAUCAGUCACAGUUUCCCAAACUGUAGUAAUAGGAGUCCUUGAACCUGGAUGGGCGCGGGUAGCAAGAUGGUGGCUGGAUAAUGAAGUUUGGGUGCGUGGUGUCAAUGUUGCUUCAUAAUCAGCCUGCAUUGUGCAGCACGUAUUUUUCUCCUUUCUUUGAGACUUUGCCAAUCACCAUUAUGACACUCAACACAAUUGUUAAUCAGAUUUUUUAGAAGUGGGGUGAAGCUGGCAAGCUGUCUCCCUCAGAAAGCGCACAAAAUGUUGUGGAGUGAAUGUCGGCUCUAUGCGAGACCAACUCGAGAACUCAAAAAUGACAAUUUCUGAACCAUUUCUCCAAGCUACCCCAGCAAACAAUGGGUAUGAAAUCACAGGAGGAGGAAGCACAAGUGCUGUCACAUGGGAGAUGAGAGCAGGAGAGGAAUGACCACUGAGAAUCAAAAUGUAUGAGCUGAUGAUGCUCCUUUCUCUAAGGAUAUUGUCCUUUCUGUCAAACACAGAAGGUUUAAACCCUCUGAAGGUUUGGCACAGUUGUGGUGACCAUGGCUCCUGGGUACAUUCAUCACUGUCGCUUAGAUAGACGGGACCACAGUACAGGACUUGGCAGUACCCCUUUACCCCAAGGUAUUUUGAAGGUGCCUCGGGCAACCUUCCGCAUCUGUACUUAAGGGGCCAAAUCCUAUCCCUGUUGGAACAGUAAAAAAGGUCCUCAGCCUCCAUCCUCCCCUGGCUCCUGGGGCUCCCAAGCUAAGCCCUGCUAGACCCUGCUGAGAUGUCUCAGACCAGAAACGAGAAGAGUUCAAGACCCUCAAGACCCCCACAGGUGGGAAGGAAGAGAGCCUCUGCCAGGAGCAGGUUCUUUCACUUUUCAGAAAACUCAAACAUAAAUAAGAUCUUCCCAGCAGUGUAAUUGCGUCAAGGUGAACUUUUUUCGUUCCAGGCUGAAGGACUCAUCUGGAACGGCGCUUCCUUCAGGAGCCCCCGACAGCAGAUGUGACCGUCGCCUUUUCUGGCCACGGCACUUGGUUGAGCAAGUGACCCGUGCACAGCUUGCAAACCGCAAACCCACUAAAAUCCAUGAGAACAUGAACGUGCUCAAAACCUGGUUACAAAUUUCAGUCUCUUGCUGAAACAGAGCCAAGAUCUUUAAUUAAUAUUCAAAUCUCUAAUCAAUAUUUCAAGAAAAUCAAAGUGUAGAGAUCAACCUGUGCGUUCGUGUUUCUGUCUUUGUCCUGAUUGCACUUCUUUUCAUUGGGGUCACACUGAAGAGCUCAGGCCUGUUUAAUUUUAAGCUCCAUUGACAGUCAGAGGAACCCAAUUUUUUGUUGCCACUCUGCAAGAUUCUUUUUAGUCAGAAGCAAUUCUUUAGCUUUCGUUGGCCAUCUUAAAUUGACAAACUGUAAAUAAGGUGUUAUCGUGGCUUGUUUCUCCAUAGAAGAUGCUAUCAUCAUACUUAAAAACAUAUAGAAUGACUUGUGAUAACUGCUACUACAUCAAUAGAUGAUAAACCAAUAAAUUAAAGUAACGGUGCAUAAAAUGAUGAAUUCUGAUAGACUUAAGGCAGUAUAAAAUAAUUGGAGACUUUAUUGCUAUUUCCAUUUUUAAUGGGGUACUAUGGCAGUACAUUCUUGCAACAGGGCUGGAAAGGUAAAUUAAUCUUUAUGCAUCAUCAUCAAGCAGUGUAAACAUGGCCAAACUUAAUUACGAUAUAAUAGAUUGUUAAGUGUCUGCCCCACAGAGGUGUGAUUGCUCUCAGGCAAGUGAUUACAGCAGGGAUGACUACCAGACAAGGUCUUCUUUAAAAGGCUGGUAGUAGUUUUGCAUGCCUCUGACAAUAAAUCUGAUGCGAAAGCCGUGCCAGAGAGGCAGCUUUCCACGGUCUCAGCUGCAGCAGAACUGUAUU